rnacentral:tRNA from 1 species
GGAGUUGUGGCUCAGUGGUAGAGUGCUCGCCUAGCAUGUGUGAGGCCCUGAGUUCGAUCCUCAGCACCA